AGCAGCAGCCGCGGUAAUACGUAGGUGGCAAGCGUUGUCCGGAAUUAUUGGGCGUAAAGCGCGCGCAGGCGGAUAGGUCAGUCUGUCUUAAAAGUUCGGGGCUUAACCCCGUGAUGGGAUGGAAACUGCCAAUCUAGAGUAUCGGAGAGGAAAGUGGAAUUCCUAGUGUAGCGGUGAAAUGCGUAGAUAUUAGGAAGAACACCAGUGGCGAAGGCGACUUUCUGGACGAAAACUGACGCUGAGGCGCGAAAGCCAGGGGAGCGAACGGGAUUAGAUACCCGUGUAGUCCCUGUCUCUUAUACA
rnacentral:rRNA from 1 species